AUGCUGGAAACCUAUAGCAACCUCGUCUCAGUGGGUUAUGAAGGCACCAAACCAGAUGUGAUCCUCAGGCUGGAGCAGGAAGAAGCACCAUGGAUUGGUGAGGCAGCAUGCCCGGGCUGCCACUGUUGGGUGGCUGUACCUUUUUAUAUUCCAACCAGUAAUGCACAAGGGUUCCAGUUUCUUCACAACCUCGCCAUCCAUCAUUUGUUAUAAUCAUGUGCCACAUAAUGAUGUUUUUGUCAAUGAGGAACCACAUAUACAGUAGUGGUCCCAUAAGAUUAUAGCAGAGCUGAAAAUUUUCUUUUUAUAAAAUUGUAUUUAUUAUUAUUUUUUUCUUCCAACUUUUAUGGAGCUGAAAAGUUUAUACUGCCUAAUGACAUUUUGAUGAUCCUGGCACUGUGUGUACCUAGGCUAAUGUGUUUGUGUCUUAGUUUUUAACAAAAAAGUCUAGAGGCUGAGGCAAGAGAAUUGCUUGAUCUGCCCUAUUAAUUGCAAUUUUCACAGUUAACUAGUACUAUUUUUAUUUAAAUAAUAGUACCUGGGAAGUGGAGGUUGCAGUGAGUUAAGAUCAUGCCACUGCACUCCAGCCUGGGCGAGAGAGCGAGACUCUGUCUCAAAAUAAAAUUAAAUUAAAUUAAAAUAAAAAAAUUUAAAAAAUUUUUAAGUAGAAGAUUAUAGAAUAAGGAUAUAAAGAAAAUAUUUCUGUACAGCUAUACAAUGUGUUUGUUUGAAGCUAAUUUAUUACAAGACAGUCAAAACAUUUUUAAAAAUUAAAAGGUUUAUAAAGUAAAGAAGUUAUAGUAAGCUAAGGUUAAUUUAUUACCGACAAAAAAAUUCAAAUAAAUUUAGUGUAGCCUAAGCAUACAGUACAUAUAAAGUCUACAGUAGUAUACAGUACUGUCCUAGCGUUCACAUUCACUCACCGCUCAGUCACUGACUCACCCGGAGUAACUUCCAGUCUUGCAAGCUCCAUUCACGACAGCAGUGCUGAGAAGCAGGAGCCCCUGAGCUUGGAGACGCAGGAAGAGCCCUGGGAGGCCCAGAUCAAAGGGAGGCAGUCAGCUCAUGGAGCCGAGGAAUGUUCUGCUGACACCCACCCCGAGGGUAUCCGGUAUGUUUCUGUGCACCAGCGACCCCUCCACACCUCACCAGAUUGGUUCCCCAGCCCCGUGGGUCCCGAUUCCGGGUCAAUUCCAAUUUGAUUCCAGUCCAGAAUCAAAUCAGAAGAGCAAUCCCGAGUGCCCACCUCACGGUCUGAAGCACCUCCUCCUACACCCGGACCCAAACACGAGGUCGGCUCAAGGAGGCACUGAGGUCACGACAGUCAGGGUCCUGCACUGCUUGUCGCAUGCAGUCUCCUUCCCCGAACCGCCGCCUGCACGGCCUCCACUGUUUUCCUAUUGGGCUGCAGCCUGAGAGCCCUGACAAUGCGGCCCACAAACCGGGAACGCGAAAGUGCACGUACCAGGCGCGAUCACCAGGCGCUAGCGCUGAGGGGGGGCUCGCGUCACAGUAACCGCCACCGUUGCCGGGGGACUGGCCCCAGCGGCUUGGCCCCCAGCCGUCUGUGGCAGUGCGUCCCCUCUCCGCGGGAUCGUCGCCAUGGUCCUGCGAUCCUAGGAGUCGGGCAAGGCCGAACCUGCCUGAAGAAACCUCAAGCGGAGAUUCAAGGAAGCACCACGUGAUCCCUAAGGAUCCCAAAGAAAGAAGACCAGCACACGACAACCAAGAACAAAUUCCUCCCGGGGCCCAUGGUCCUGCGGCACACCCAAGGCUGGACGGACCCUAGCCGUCCUGUCCUCAGUACCCCCUUGAGCCCACUUCUAAUUCGGUGGCUGGCGGAGUCGGACCUUCAGGACCUGAGGCGGGCACUCCUUCAUCCUCUUCAGAUUUCAUUCCGGAUUAAAGGAUGUGUGCAGAAAAAAGGUCAGAUGGGGGUGAAGAUACAAUCCGCUGAGGUGUGGAGGAGGUCCCGCACCUUCACCUGCAGAACAGGUGCAGACAGAUGUCAAAGAAACUGUUUCCAACGCCAUCCCCUUUUCCUCUUCACUGUACAACCUGUCCACACCAUGGCGCUGUGCUGGCGACAGAAGACACGAGUGUUCGGAGAACCUUUGGACCGAAGACUGUUGCCUUUCUGGCCAGGUCCCCUGUUGGACCCUGGUUCCCCGAGGCACAUGGGAGUGGGAUGGAUUGAUCCUGCCUGGGCUGCGGCCUCUACUCUGUUCUCCCUCUUUUCUUGCCUUCCCUGAUUCUUGUCGGCCCAGGUUUUCCUUGGUCUGGCUCACAGUCCUCCAGAACGUCCUUCACAGCAAAUGUUUCCCAGUUCGUCCAGGACCACCUUGGCGGGGAUGUAGGUGAUGAGUGUUUCCUUCUCAACACUCACAUUUCUUAAUGACUGGGUAGCUGUGAUGCUCUUGGAACCGUGGGUGCCCGUAGCUUUCCCCAAUAAGGAAACUCUUGGUCUCCCUAUUGCAUCAGAUGGCUGCAUGAUUCACAUAGAAUGAGAGGCCGUAGCUGGCCUUUGCCUUCUAAUGAAGGCUAUGUUUCAUCUCAUCUGCUGGUGUUUUCUCAUUGUUGAGGGGUCUCGCAUUGCUCUGUUCCUGGCUGGGACUGCCUCUCAGCACUGCACCUUUUCUCUGCCAGGGAUUUCACGGAGCAAAAGGGACUGGGGGUUAGCUGGGUGUAGGCCCGGUGGUGGGUUGUGAUCCCGGUGUGGGUGCUGGGGUGGUUUGCACUUUGCAGGAUCCUCUUGGCUCCUCUGGCAGGAAUCCCUGGACGAGGCUUGGACUCCGGCACAGGCCCUCCUAUGGUUUCAGGUGUGCUUUGCUUGUGCUUUGCUUUCUUGGGGGGGAUCCUCAGUGGCCCUCGCCAGCAUGCCUGGAUAUCCCUUUUGGGCUUGGAUUCACCCCAGAAAGCCUCUGAGACACUCUCUCCACAUUUUCUGCCCCCAUGGGAUGCCAGUUUUAGGUGUUGCCACCUCUGCUUCACAUCGGGCUUGACUUUGUCCUUGUUCCCGCCUUUUCCGGACAGCAAUGCUGAGAAGCCGAAGGCCCUGGUCUUGGGAGACCAGGACAGGAUCCUGGGAGGCCCAGGUCGAAAGGGGGCCAGUCAGCUCAUGAGGCGAGGGAAUGUCCUGCUCACACCCUCCACUGGGGUCUCAGACCCGUACACGAAGUGGGCUGAAGGAGGCACUGAGGUCAGGACUGUCAGCGUCCUGCGCUGCUGGUCGCACGCAGCCUUCUUCCCCGGGCCGCAGCCGGCACGGCCUCCACCGUUUUCCUAUGGGCCCUGAGAGCCCUGACGUUGCGGCAGCGCCAGCCGGGCACGCGAAUGCGCAUGCGCCAGGCGCGCGUCAUCAGGCGCGACGGCUCAGCCGGGGCUCGCGUCACAGUGAUAGCCACCGUUGCCUGGAGACAGGCCCUAGCGGCUUGGCGGAGCUGGAGCCCCUCUCUGGCAGUGCGUCGGCGCUGGGCUAUGGCUCCCUCCUCUCCGGGGGAUCGUCGCCUUGGUCCCCGGACCCUAGGAGUCGGGCAGGGCCGAACCAGGCUAAAGAAACGUCCAGCGUAGCUUCAAGGAUGUACCGCGUGAUCCCUAUCGGAUCUCCCCGAAGGGUCAGGCCUGCCUAGACGGUGUUGGGAGCGCGUCUCCUUGAAUGUUGUCCCGCCUGGGAUUGCGAGGAAUUAUCCGAUGAAAAGUAGAAGAGGCUGAAUGACUUUCAGUGGCCUUUUCUUCACAGGUAACUUUGACACACAUGUAAAGCCCUUCCUGACUUGCUUCUUGACCCUCUAAGUUGCCUUUGCACUCCAUAUUGUCUCCAAGACCAUUGUAUUGAAGGUGAUGGUUGGGCUCACCUGAAACUUCAUGUACCAUUGCACUUCCUGAGAAGCUGUCCCCAAUCCCAGGCUCCUAGCAAUGCUGUUCCAGUAAUCUCUCUUCUGUAAGACAGCCACUCCACCCACUGCAGUCUACAAGGAAAGCCUCCAUAGCUCUGGGCCUGAGGUCAGACCAACCCAACCAGCUGACACCAGCACAACACCCAUUCACACAGGCCCUGUGGAGGAAGCCCCUUCUACAGGAAGCAGCAGUACUGUGACAUCGGAAAACAGGCCUUUGAAGAGAGCUUCAGGCACACACCUCAAAGUGCUGCCACCUACGGAUCAGCUGUAUUGUUAGCAAUAGCUGACAGUGUGACCAGCCUUUAUUCACCUGAGCUCUGUCUUUAUGUCACGGUUCUCAUCAGCAUCCAGGGCUCCUUUCUUUGCUCCAAUAAGGAAAGUAUAUUUGGCUUAGGGACUGCACAUCCAGCUUAAAAGAAAGGAAAUGGUACAUGGUCAUGCUAGGGGAUUCCCAGAUUCAAAUCUAGUCCAUUGGCCAUCAAAGAAGGGAGACACUGACAGGAAGUGACAGAGAAAGAUGUGACAGUCUAAAGGAUAAGAGAUAAAAAGGUACACGGUGGAGCUGUCCAUUUCUACUUCUACUCAAACGUAAGCCUUUCCUUAGGGAAUGGAGAUCAGAAAUUCACAAUGAAUGAGGCAGAAAUUAUGGGGAACAAAUUCUGAAUAUUACGUAGGAUGAUCUUACCCAACGAGAUCAGGUUGCUGUAGUUCUCCAACAUCACAUCCCUGUACAAGUCCCUCUGAGCAGGGUCCAGGCACUCCCACUCCUCCUGAGAGAAGUCAAUGGCCACAUCCCUGAAAGUCACCAACAACUGAAACAACAAAUCCAUUACUUGUGAAAAUACAGGAAUGAUUCUGAAGUGAAAUGAGAAGAAAAUGGAGGAGGUAAUUGAAGGAAGCAAGUAACACAAAACAACAGGAAAUUGGUUGCCUAAACAGUAGUAUUAACAUGAUUCUCUAUCAUUCCUAUUGCCACAGAUAAAACUUCCUCUGUACAAUAGAACAAUUCCAUUAUCCAGAAAGGUCUGAGAAUUUAAAAAGCCAGAUGUGUGCAGUUUCUUGAUUAAAUACAAUACUGCAAGCGUUUUUUUCACAACAGACAGGUUUUAAUUGCACAGCAGAUAAGGCUUCCAAAUCCUCAAUAACUAAUAUACUCUCAAUUAAUACAAGUUCUUGCUCUCCCUUCUGCCUUUAAAGACUUUUAAAAAGAUGAAUUUUCCAAACAAUGUUUACCAAAUCUCUAGGUUAGAAAAUAAAAUUUGAAUAUAACCUAAGAAUUUUUUGAAGACUCAGAUUCAUCAAGUUAUAUUAUGUCACAGAACAGAAUGGACAUAUUUCCAUUUUACAUACAAAAUGAUCUGCUUAUUUGGGAGUAUCUGAAUUAGACAAAUUCUCUAAUGUCUUUGAGCUCUUAGAAUCUAUAAUUCUUGAGAGUAUGCAUCUGGCAUGUUUUAUUUGCUCCUAUUUUCCACAUUCCUAGGCUAUAGCAAGGUACUGGAUGCCAGUCCAGGCACACAGAGACAUCACUCUGAACUAGUACAUUCUGGGAAAUCCCAAGAUUAUUCAGUAAGAACAGUCUCAGGAAAACAGGACCUUCAACAGAGAUAAGGGAAUUAAAAUAUGCAGACUAACAACUCUGGGAAUGGGCUGACCAGCCUGAUAAGAAUAGGCUGAUGGCACCUACAGAAGGCCACAAAACACUGACCAAGAAAGCAAUGACCAACAAAGCAAUGGCCUGAGACUGCACAUUUCACAAGAAUGUUUUGAUCAUCAUUUUUUCUAAUUUCCCUUAAAAACCCCUGAUAUGGAGACAGAACUCGGUGGUCUUUGAACACUAGUUCACUGCCUCCCCUGGGUUGUUGGAUUCCUGAAUAAAGCUAACCAUCCUUUCA